CUGGAGGUAUCAGAAGUGCGAAUGCUGACAUAAGUAACGAUAAAGCGGGUGAAAAGCCCGCUCGCCGGAAGACCAAGGGUUCCUGUCCAACGUUAAUCGGGGCAGGGUGAGUCGACCCCUAAGGCGAGGCCGAAAGGCGUAGUCGAUGGGAAACAGGUUAAUAUUCCUGUACUUGGUGUUACUGCGAAGGGGGGACGGAGAAGGCUAUGUUGGCCGGGCGACGGUUGUCCCGGUUUAAGCGUGUAGGCUGGUUUUCCAGGCAAAUCCGGAAAAUCAAGGCUGAGGCGUGAUGACGAGGCACUACGGUGCUGAAGCAACAAAUGCCCUGCUUCCAGGAAAAGCCUCUAAGCAUCAGGUAACAUCAAAUCGUACCCCAAACCGACACAGGUGGUCAGGUAGAGAAUACCAAGGCGCUUGAGAGAACUCGGGUGAAGGAACUAGGCAAAAUGGUGCCGUAACUUCGGGAGAAGGCACGCUGAUAUGUAGGUGAAGCGACUUGCUCGUGGAGCUGA
rnacentral:rRNA from 1 species